rnacentral:rRNA from 1 species
GCCAGACUCCUACGGGAGGCAGCAGUGGGGAAUAUUGCACAAUGGGGGGAACCCUGAUGCAGCGACGCCGCGUGGGCGAGGAAGUAUUUCGGUAUGUAAAGCCCUAUCGGCAGGGAAGAAGAAAUGACGGUACCUGAACAAGAAGCACCGGCUAAAUACGUGCCAGCAGCCGCGGUAAUACGUAUGGUGCAAGCGUUAUCCGGAUUUACUGGGUGUAAAGGGAGCGUAGACGGCGAUGCAAGCCAGAUGUGAAAGCCCGGGGCUCAACCCCGGGACUGCAUUUGGAACUGUGUGGCUGGAGUGUCGGAGAGGCAGGCGGAAUUCCUAGUGUAGCGGUGAAAUGCGUAGAUAUUAGGAGGAACACCAGUGGCGAAGGCGGCCUGCUGGACGAUGACUGACGUUGAGGCUCGAAGGCGUGGGGAGCAAACAGGAUUAGAUACCCGCGUAC